CCUACGGGUGGCAGCAGUAGGGAAUUUUCGUCAAUGGGCGCAAGCCUGAACGAGCAAUGCCGCGUGAACGAGGAAGGUCUUCGGAUCGUAAAGUUCUGUUGAAGGGGACAAAGAGCGGAGAGAGGAAAUGGUCUCCGAUUGAUAUUACCCUUCGAGGAAGUCACGGCUAACUACGUGCCAGCAGCCGCGGUAAUACGUAGGUGGCGAGCGUUAUCCGGAAUGAUUGGGCGUAAAGGGUGCGUAGGCGGCCUGCUAAGUCUGGAGUGAAAGGUACCGGCUCAACCGGUAUAGGCGUUGGAAACUGGCGGGCUAGAGAGCAGGAGAGGGCGGUGGAACUCCAUGUGUAGCGGUAAAAUGCGUAGAUAUAUGGAAGAACACCAGUGGCGAAGGCGGCCGCCUGGCCUGUUACUGACGCUGAGGCACGAAAGCGUGGGGAGCAAAUAGGAUUAGAGACCCCGGUAGUC
rnacentral:rRNA from 1 species